rnacentral:rRNA from 1 species
AUUGAACGCUGGCGGCAUGCUUUACACAUGCAAGUCGAACGGUAUCAGGCCGCAAGGUGCUGACGAGUGGCGAACGGGUGAGUAAUGCAUCGGAACGUGCCCAGUCGUGGGGGAUAACGCAGCGAAAGCUGCGCUAAUACCGCAUACGAUCUAUGGAGGAAAGCGGGGGACCGUAAGGCCUCGCGCGAUUGGAGCGGCCGAUGUCAGAUUAGGUAGUUGGUGGGGUAAAGGCCUACCAAGCCAACGAUCUGUAGCUGGUCUGAGAGGACGACCAGCCACACUGGGACUGAGACACGGCCCAGACUCCUACGGGAGGCAGCAGUGGGGAAUUUUGGACAAUGGGCGCAAGCCUGAUCCAGCAAUGCCGCGUGCAGGAAGAAGGCCUUCGGGUUGUAAACUGCUUUUGUACGGAACGAAAAGGCUCUGGUUAAUACCUGGGGCUCAUGACGGUACCGUAAGAAUAAGCACCGGCUAACUACGUGCCAGCCGCCGCAGUAACAC